GACAGAGGGUGCAAACGUUGCUCGGAAUCACUGGGCGUAAAGGGCGUGUAGGCGGGAAGGUAAGUCGGGCGUGAAAUCCCUGAGCUCAACUCAGGAACUGCACUCGAAACUACUUUUCUUGAGUGCCGGAGAGGAAGCGGAAUUCCUGGUGAGAGGUGAAAUUCGUAGAUAUCAGGAGGAACACCAGUGGCGAAGGCGGCUUUCUGGACGGUAACUGGACGCUGAGACGCGAAAGCGUGGGGAGCAAACAGG
rnacentral:rRNA from 1 species